GGCCCGCUAGCUCAAUUGGGAGAGCAGGGGACUCUUAAUCCCUUGGUUACAGGUUCGAGUCCUGUGCGGGUCA
rnacentral:tRNA from 1 species